AUUGAACGCUGGCGGCAGGCUUAACACAUGCAAGUCGAGCGAGUGGCGGAGGGGUGAGUAAUGUCUGGGAAACUGCCUGAUGGAGCGGGAUCACUACUGGAAACGGUAGCUAAUACCGCAUACCAUCAGAUGUGCCCAGGUGGGAUUAGCUAGUAGGUGGGGUAAUGGCUCACCUAGGCGACGAUACCUAGCUGGUCUGAGAGGAUGACCAGGCACACUGGAACUGAGGCAAGGUCCAGACUCCUACGUGGAGUAGCAGUGGGGGAUAUCGGACUAUGGGCGAAAGCGUGAUGCAGCAAUGCCGCGUGUAGGGAGAAGGACAUCGGGUUGUAAAGUUCUUUCCGCGAGGGGGCGUUGCUCGCAGAAGAAGCAACGGCUAACUCCGUGCCAGCAGCCGCGGUAAUUC
rnacentral:rRNA from 1 species